UAGUUCAGGCUGAGUCAUUGUCCUUGUUCCUCAUCGUAUUUUGUAUAAACUGCUCAUGGGUACAGCUGUUCCUUGUGACCUGCUUACUUGAGCUCUGAGUACCGAAUGCACCCCUCUCUCCAGGUUUCUUAUUCAAAUUCCCGAGGGACAGCCUGGAGCAACUCAGGAAGGCUGAUCCUGGGCCCCCGACCAGCCUCUGCCGUAGCAGGUGCUCCCCGUGCAGAGGGCCGUCUGCUCUAGGUCAAGGUUAGAGAUGUGAUGGUCUCGUGUGCUCUCCACCCUCACUGAACACCAGGUUACACAGCAACUUGCCGCUGCACCUGCUUCUGUCUCUCGUCUUCUGAUAGCAGGCGUGGCUGGCCAGUGAAGAGGGACGCCUCCUAGCCAUGUGAGCGGAAAGCUGUUCAUACCUCUGGUAAAAUCGCUGUUGUGAAGAGUGUCUUUCUCCCCCAGAUUAAGGCUUUUGCCAGCUUGGAAGAGAGCAGCUGGGAGGGAUGGGACUGCCCUGUAGCAGCCACAGCUGUUUGGGAUGGAAUGGGGGGCACUAUAUGGAUCAUCUUAAUUACCUUCUUGAUCACAUCUAAAUUCCACCCAUGUUACUCUCUCAGCUUUGCGGAAGGAGCCCUCUGACCUUUCAAAGAGGCUGGAGAACCUCCCAGGGAAAAGUUGUUUGAGAAGCUCCAGCCAGAGGAACAGUAAGGUGUGCAGUCCUUACAAAGCAGACUAAGGACCGCAGUCUCAGAGGGAACUAUCUAAGAUUUCUGGAUCCUUCCUUAGGUAUGCUGUUUUUAUUUCUUUUCCUCAAGUGAUUGCUCUGGUAUCGAUGAAGAACUAGCCUGCUUACAAGAUUGAUAAGGAAAAACUAAAACGAAUGUUAAGAAACAGGCUCAGUGGAGCAGCACAGAACACUGACUCCAGGAUGAGGAGAGGAGACAGGACUCAGGAGAGGCUGAAGGUCAUGGGGAAGGAAGACUGACGGUAACAGGCAGUAACAAUGAUACUGGCUAAAACCAAGUGCCUCCUCCUGCCUGGCGAUCCCAGAGCUGUUGCUACUGGGUUCACACCUGAAAGUUUAAACUUUUAUCUGCCAGAUCUAGUCCACAGAGAGAACUUCUGUUUUCAGAGAAAUUACUAGAGGAUGGUUUUUCCAGCUGUGUGUUUCCAGUAGUUGUUACCUCGUGUUUUCUUCCUUUCCCACCAAGAUGCAGACUCACAGGAACUCAUACAGCAAGAGGAUAGGAUGCUUCUGCAGAAGGGCCUGCGACUGGGCAGACAACCAGGACGGAAGACCUGAGACCUACCCCUCCACCCUGGCCCGCACACAGGGACCUUGUCUCCUAGGAGAAAACUGUCUGCUGGGAACCUUGUGUGAAAUAAUAUUUUAAGUACGGAGAGAAGCUUGAGUUUGACCAGAGGUCACAAAAUGUGGAAUCAGAAACUAAAAGUUUGAGCUUUGAUUCUUUCCCAGCUGUUCCAGGUUCCUACCCACGCUUGGGUGAGUUGUCAGUUCUUUUGCUACUGAGGCAGCGAUAGCAGUAUAGUCUAGGGGAGGUGGGGAGAGUGUCCCAGAGGUGGGUUCUAGGCUCGAGAACCCCGAAGAAACUCACACGCCUUUCUCUUUUAAUGCUGAAGAUGAAUGAAAAAGGUGACACAUUUUAAGCAGUGUAUUUCCACUUGGAAAAUGCAGAAAGCAAAUUAUUCUAAAGUUGCAUGUACAACACAGAAUGUUGCCUACUGUGGAAGAAAAAAAAAGCAUUUAUACAGGCAUGAUGGUCCAAGGAAAAGAAAAGUUGCUUUAUUUCAAAACAGUAACUUCCUCAUUUUGGAGCACUGGCUAAAAAUUCAAUUACUGAUACAAAUAUAAAUAUUUCUUAGGAGGUCAAAGUAAGUAUAUCAGGCGAAUUUCCUGAAUUUAAAGGCAGAAUUUUUAAACCAUAGAAAACAAUUAGAAACAAUGUAUGUUAACAACAUGUGUAAAAUUAAGCCACAGUUCAAAUUUAAGCUAAACAGCCAAACCAUGAAAAUUACCUCAACUAGUAUUAGCUGCUAUCGUUUAGAACAUUGCACACAGUUUCAAUAACUUAAAAGUGAAUGUAUCUUCUUCAUAUCUCCUAAUCGCCCUGGGAAGUGGAACUUUUUUUCCCACUAGAUUUAAAUAAUAAGUCCAACUAUUUACUCAUGGUAGGAGAUUCUGGAUAACUAGAGCUGAGUUUAACAGAAAUAUAGAAAAUCAUGACGAUACAUGAAGCAUUUAGAAAUGAUGACUUCCUUAGAAGUCCUAGAUGAGAAAGGUGGUUGGAACUCAGCAGAACAGCAGUCUGACCGAUGAUAAGCAACGUACAGGAAAUUGGCGCCUAUACAGUGUUCCAUUAUAAAGCUACUAUUUUGACCAGUAUUAAAAAUUUUUUUAACUCCAUUAUGCUGACAUUUCCAGAAGUGUUAACUUAGCAACAGGUCAUCUUUAUGAUAUGCCAUUUUAUUAAA